rnacentral:rRNA from 1 species
UACGGAGGGUGCGAGCGUUGUCCGGAAUCACUGGGCGUAAAGGGCGCGUAGGCGGCGCGGAUAGUCGGCGGUGAAAGCCCGGAGCUCAACUCCGGGUCGGCCGUCGAUACUUCCGGGCUUGAGCACUGUAGAGGCAGAUGGAAUUCCGGGUGUAGCGGUGGAAUGCGUAGAGAUCCGGAAGAACACCGGUGGCGAAGGCGGCCCGCUGGGCAACUGCUGACACUGAUGCGCGACAGCGUGGGGAGCAAACAGG